UUCAUUAUAACCCUCGGCUUACCACGAAGUUUCCCUCUCCAUUGAAUUUCCUCUUCCCGCGUGGUCUCUCUCCCUCGCCUCUCUAUUGCGAAAAACCUGCAAUGAACUCCACCUUCACUAUCUUCUCCUCUUUCACUCCAUCUCUCCAUCAACAAACCUUCUCUCUCUUUCUCGCGGUUUCUCUCUGUCCAUGGUCUCUCUCUAUCUUUCUAUCUCAACAAACCCUUGCGUAAUAACUCUGUACCUAUGGAGAAGAAGAUAACUAUGAAGAAAUGCACGGUUUCUCUUUCGUUGAAACAAGUUGUGGUUGAACUGAAGGAGCAACUUUAGAUGCUUGGAUGGAGACAUGUUGGAUCAGAUUUUCAAAUGUUAAUUGUAGAUCUUCAAGCAGUUUGAAAUUUAUAAUGUAUUUUGAACCUAUGGAUGUAUGCAAAUUGUACUUGAGAUGUAACUUUUUUACUUUUUAUAAUGGAUUCUAUUAUUAGAAA